rnacentral:tRNA from 1 species
GCUGUUGUAGUGCCGAGGUUAGCAUGUCCGCCUCUGACGCAGAACGCCAGGGUUCGAAUCCUGGCGAGAACA